rnacentral:lncRNA from 1 species
CAAAGCUGCUCAUUGUCCCCCAAUAUACAUUAACUUUUUUAUCAGUAAGGGAGCUAGGCCUAGUGUAAAGCUUACAGCUAAGAUUGGUCUAUAAUUAAUGAUUAAAUUCUGGUCCAUAGGAUAUAAACAGGAGCAAUGUCCUUAAAAAACAGUAACAUAUCCUUCUCUAUCCCUUCCUCCUUACAGGUGGUAAGCAUACAGACAUGUUGGCUGAAGGUGAACAGUCUUUUUGGACAAUGCUGUAAUAAUUGCAAGUUGAAGAUGGCAGAUAAAAACAUACAGGAGCCCAAGUCCCUGCUGGCCCCAUGGACCAGCAUCCCACUCCCACCCAUGGAUUAGCUAUCCUGGGCUCUUUUUUUUUUAAUUGGAGAGAGAAACAAAUAUGCAUAUCAGAGUUUUCUAUUACUCAGAGCCAAACGAUCAUAAUGAAUACAGUUUUAUUCUUACAACCCUCUUUUAAAAAAUAUUUUGUAAAUGAAUGACAAAGUUAAGUAGAAUAACAGUUAACAUUUCUAGAUCACCUCUGGUGGCCUAACACUUUACCUAGGUAUAUGUAUCUCAUCUAAGUCUCUCAGCAUCCCUUGAGGUAGGCCUUAUUAUUAGCUGCUCCAAUUUACAGUGGUGAAGGCUCAAGGUCAAAGAGGUAGUGAAGAGAUCAAUCAGGAUUUGAACCAGGCAGUUGAAAUCGAGUGUCUGGCUCUUCCUGUCUUGCAUAUUUUGCCUUCCCUAACUAGAUACAAACUAAGAAAAACAAAACAAUUGAAUUUUUUUUCUGAAAUCAUGAAGACAAAAUUAAUAAAUUCAUUGAGUUUUCAAAAUAUAUUUUCUGUCCUUUUCACUAGGCAUGCAAACUGCAAUAUGUUUAAAAAACAAAGCUACCUGAA